rnacentral:tRNA from 1 species
GCUGGUUUGGCUCAGUGGAUAGAGCGUUGGCCUGUGAACUGAAGGGUCUUGGGUUUGAUUCCCAGCCAGCC